rnacentral:rRNA from 2 species
UUAAGCGACUAAGCGUACACGGUGGAUGCCCUGGCAGUCAGAGGCGAUGAAGGACGUGCUAAUCUGCGAUAAGCGUCGGUGAGGUGAUAUGAACCGUUAUAACCGGCGAUUUCCGAAUGGGGAAACCCAGUGUGUUUCGACACACUAUCAUUAACUGAAUCCAUAGGUUAAUGAGGCGAACCGGGGGAACUGAAACAUCUAAGUACCCCGAGGAAAAGAAAUCAACCGAGAUUCCCCCAGUAGCGGCGAGCGAACGGGGAGGAGCCCAGAGCCUGAAUCAGUGUGUGUGUUAGUGGAAGCGUCUGGAAAGGCGCGCGAUACAGGGUGACAGCCCCGUACACAAAAAUGCACAUAUUGUGAGCUCGAUGAGUAGGGCGGGACACGUGGUAUCCUGUCUGAAUAUGGGGGGACCAUCCUCCAAGGCUAAAUACUCCUGACUGACCGAUAGUGAACCAGUACCGUGAGGGAAAGGCGAAAAGAACCCCGGCGAGGGGAGUGAAAAAGAACCUGAAACCGUGUACGUACAAGCAGUGGGAGCCUCUUUAUGGGGUGACUGCGUACCUUUUGUAUAAUGGGUCAGCGACUUAUAUUCUGUAGCAAGGUUAACCGAAUAGGGGAGCCGAAGGGAAACCGAGUCUUAACUGGGCGUUAAGUUGCAGGGUAUAGACCCGAAACCCGGUGAUCUAGCCAUGGGCAGGUUGAAGGUUGGGUAACACUAACUGGAGGACCGAACCGACUAAUGUUGAAAAAUUAGCGGAUGACUUGUGGCUGGGGGUGAAAGGCCAAUCAAACCGGGAGAUAGCUGGUUCUCCCCGAAAGCUAUUUAGGUAGCGCCUCGUGAAUUCAUCUCCGGGGGUAGAGCACUGUUUCGGCAAGGGGGUCAUCCCGACUUACCAACCCGAUGCAAACUGCGAAUACCGGAGAAUGUUAUCACGGGAGACACACGGCGGGUGCUAACGUCCGUCGUGAAGAGGGAAACAACCCAGACCGCCAGCUAAGGUCCCAAAGUCAUGGUUAAGUGGGAAACGAUGUGGGAAGGCCCAGACAGCCAGGAUGUUGGCUUAGAAGCAGCCAUCAUUUAAAGAAAGCGUAAUAGCUCACUGGUCGAGUCGGCCUGCGCGGAAGAUGUAACGGGGCUAAACCAUGCACCGAAGCUGCGGCAGCGACACUAUGUGUUGUUGGGUAGGGGAGCGUUCUGUAAGCCUGUGAAGGUGGCCUGUGAGGGUUGCUGGAGGUAUCAGAAGUGCGAAUGCUGACAUAAGUAACGAUAAAGCGGGUGAAAAGCCCGCUCGCCGGAAGACCAAGGGUUCCUGUCCAACGUUAAUCGGGGCAGGGUGAGUCGACCCCUAAGGCGAGGCCGAAAGGCGUAGUCGAUGGGAAACAGGUUAAUAUUCCUGUACUUGGUGUUACUGCGAAGGGGGGACGGAGAAGGCUAUGUUGGCCGGGCGACGGUUGUCCCGGUUUAAGCGUGUAGGCUGGUUUUCCAGGCAAAUCCGGAAAACCAAGGCUGAGGCGUGAUGACGAGGCACUACGGUGCUGAAGCGACAAAUGCCCUGCUUCCAGGAAAAGCCUCUAAGCAUCAGGUAACAUCAAAUCGUACCCCAAACCGACACAGGUGGUCAGGUAGAGAAUACCAAGGCGCUUGAGAGAACUCGGGUGAAGGAACUAGGCAAAAUGGUGCCGUAACUUCGGGAGAAGGCACGCUGAUAUGUAGGUGAAGCGACUUGCUCGUGGAGCUGAAAUCAGUCGAAGAUACCAGCUGGCUGCAACUGUUUAUUAAAAACACAGCACUGUGCAAACACGAAAGUGGACGUAUACGGUGUGACGCCUGCCCGGUGCCGGAAGGUUAAUUGAUGGGGUUAGCGGUAACGCGAAGCUCUUGAUCGAAGCCCCGGUAAACGGCGGCCGUAACUAUAACGGUCCUAAGGUAGCGAAAUUCCUUGUCGGGUAAGUUCCGACCUGCACGAAUGGCGUAAUGAUGGCCAGGCUGUCUCCACCCGAGACUCAGUGAAAUUGAACUCGCUGUGAAGAUGCAGUGUACCCGCGGCAAGACGGAAAGACCCCGUGAACCUUUACUAUAGCUUGACACUGAACAUUGAGCCUUGAUGUGUAGGAUAGGUGGGAGGUUUUGAAGUGUGGACGCCAGUCUGCAUGGAGCCGACCUUGAAAUACCACCCUUUAAUGUUUGAUGUUCUAACGUUGGCCCGUAAUCCGGGUUGCGGACAGUGUCUGGUGGGUAGUUUGACUGGGGCGGUCUCCUCCUAAAGAGUAACGGAGGAGCACGAAGGUUGGCUAAUCCUGGUCGGACAUCAGGAGGUUAGUGCAAUGGCAUAAGCCAGCUUGACUGCGAGCGUGACGGCGCGAGCAGGUGCGAAAGCAGGUCAUAGUGAUCCGGUGGUUCUGAAUGGAAGGGCCAUCGCUCAACGGAUAAAAGGUACUCCGGGGAUAACAGGCUGAUACCGCCCAAGAGUUCAUAUCGACGGCGGUGUUUGGCACCUCGAUGUCGGCUCAUCACAUCCUGGGGCUGAAGUAGGUCCCAAGGGUAUGGCUGUUCGCCAUUUAAAGUGGUACGCGAGCUGGGUUUAGAACGUCGUGAGACAGUUCGGUCCCUAUCUGCCGUGGGCGCUGGAGAACUGAGGGGGGCUGCUCCUAGUACGAGAGGACCGGAGUGGACGCAUCACUGGUGUUCGGGUUGUCAUGCCAAUGGCACUGCCCGGUAGCUAAAUGCGGAAGAGAUAAGUGCUGAAAGCAUCUAAGCACGAAACUUGCCCCGAGAUGAGUUCUCCCUGACUCCUUGAGAGUCCUGAAGGAACGUUGAAGACGACGACGUUGAUAGGCCGGGUGUGUAAGCGCAGCGAUGCGUUGAGCUAACCGGUACUAAUGAACCGUGAGGCUUAACCUU